GCACAUCAUAUGUGAGAUUGGGGUGUAAUGAGGUACUCAUUGGUAUAAGUUGGAAGAAAUGAAAGAAAGAAAGGAGACAAAAGUGUGAAAACAGAGGCAAAUGUGCAACAGAGGCAAAUGUAGAGUGAGGCAUGACUGCGAAGAGUAUUCAGAGAGGAAUUUGAAUGUGCUGCCCUUUUUACUCACUAGAAAGAAGAUAAGUAAAUCGUUUUGGUAAAUUAGUGCAAAGCAUGAGAUCUUUCAAAUUAUUUUGGGUACC